GGGAGAUUUCCCGAGCGGUCAAAGGGGGCAGACUGUAAAUCUGUUGCGUUUCGCUUCGGUGGUUCGAAUCCACCAUCUCCCACCA
rnacentral:tRNA from 1 species